UGUGACCCGCGUAGGGAAAAUAAACAAUUGCGCUCUGGAUACUGUAUCAUUAUCACAACAAAGAGGAGACGUGAAAUCCGAGGACGGGCACAUCUGGAGCGUGUUAAUCGCCCUCGAAUGACGGAUGCAUUUUAUUUUACCUCACGACAGACGGGCCGCCAGCGCUGCCCGAUUAUUAUUUGUGUCAGCCGACCCGGCUUUUUGGAAGCCUGCAUCCGGUACCUGUGAGUUCCUGUCGGGGGGCCUCCGCGGAGGGGAGGCGGUGCAACGGUGGCGGCCUGCCUUCCCUCAUCCCGCCGUGACGGACGGCUUGCUCCCGCUCGCCCGGCUGGUAAGCUGGCUGUAAUUUACGCGAUCCUCUGCAAUUUCCGGGUGCUCUCUGAAGUGGUACGGUGGGGGCUGACCCUUCCCUGUUUGUCUUCAUUUGCCAUUGUGCGUUGCCCUAAAGGAAGCAAUUACAUGGGAAGUGGAGAAAUGGAAGAAAAAAAAAAAAAAAAAUUCAACCCGGAGCACAUGGACCACCAUAAGCCACCCUUGACCUGACCUGGUUGACAUUAA